rnacentral:rRNA from 1 species
AAUGGCGUAUACAAAGAGAAGCGACCUCGCGAGAGCAAGCGGACCUCAUAAAGUACGUCGUAGUCCGGAUUGGAGUCUGCAACUCGACUCCAUGAAG